CACAGCAUACGAUAGACUUAAAAAUAAAACAUUCUNCUAUUCUUGUAGAGGGUGAUCGAAAAAUUCUUAGCGGCCCAGAUUUAGUACCCCAAGGGGAAGGUGAAUUAUUAAUGAAAUUAGGUUAAGGCCNAAUGGAGGUCCCCCNCCG
rnacentral:rRNA from 1 species